UACGAAGGGGGCGAGCGUUGUUCGGAAUCACUGGGCGUAAAGGGCGCGUAGGCGGCCCUCCUUGUCGCGUGUGAAAGCCCCGGGCUCAACCUGGGAACGGAGCGCGAGACGGGGGGGCUGGAGUUCGGGAGAGGAGCGUGGAAUUCCCAGUGUAGAGGUGAAAUGCGUAGAUAUCAGGAGGAACACCGGUGGUGUAAACGGCUUUCUGGACCGUAACUGACGCUGAGGCACGAAAGCGUGGGUAGCAAACAGG
rnacentral:rRNA from 1 species